rnacentral:sRNA from 1 species
GGCGGUAGGCGCCAUGUCCGGCCGCGAAGGUAAGUGUUCCGGGACGGUGAGGACUGCGGGGACGGCGGGGUGGGGACCGGGCGGCAGGGACAGGCCGAAGGUGCUCGUGUCGCCCACAGGUGGCAAGAAGAAGCCACUGAAACAGCCCAAGAAGCAGGCCAAGGAGAUGGACGAGGAAGAUAAGGCUUUCAAGCAGAAACAAAAAGAGGAGCAGAAGAAACUCGAGGAGCUAAAAGCGAAGGCGGCGGGGAAAGGGCCCUUGGCCACAGGUGGAAUUAAGAAAUCUGGCAAAAAGUAAGCUAUUCCUUGUACCUGAGGAGAUGGUGACCCUUUAUUUCAUCCGUAUUUAAACCUCUCUAUUCCCUGCCAUAACAUCUUUUGCCACGUAUAGCUGGAAUUAAGUGUUGUCUUGGAGCUGUUGUACAUUUAAGAAUAAACUUUUGUAAAAAAAAAAAAAAAAAAUCUUAACAGUGGCUCAUCAUCUCUUUAGUUGUUUUCACUAAGUCAUUCCUACCAUAACUGUGAAUUUAAAAGUAAAACCAGCUCAGAAUCUUGCCAGAGUCUGCUCUUUGAUCCUUGUUCUACCCUAAACUUUGUAUCACUUGAAAUUAAACCAACUGAUUUGA